UUUGCGAGCGUGGAAGACGACGGCGGCGGCGAUGAGACAGCUCCACUAGGAAUACAACGGCGGUGGCUUCUUUGUUGUUUCUGUGGUGGAAGACCCACGCCUACGACACCGCGGCAGGGGGGAAAUCCCCUGCUCCCCCGCUCCCUCGCCGCAGCUGCCUCCUGCUCCGCCAACGCCACCGCGGCGGACGAUGAGAUGCCCUGCUGGCUCCCAACGGCGAUGUCAACCUCGACGGCGCGAGCUUCUGCUCGGGGGACGGCGCGGUUCAGCGACGACGAGAUCUUCCUCACCAAAUCGCCGACCAAAUCGUCGAGGAGAGCAAGUUCCUCAUCCACCGCACCGCCACCUCCUCUGCUCUCGUCCUUCCAGGUCAGGAGAGCAACAACGCACACGCAGCGCAGAUUUGUGCGUCUUCUCCAUGCAAUCUUGUUUACUUAAUCUUCAGCCUGGGCCAUCUCUGUCACCAACGCCUACAACCUGGGAACAUGAGCUCUGGCGGCAACACAAAGAAUUCAGUAAACUCUAUUUUUGCAGAAUUGUUGUUGUCAGUUAACUGAAACUACAGCACAUUCCAAUCAAUUGGCUGCAGUAAAGAACUGAAGAGAUGGUAUGAUAACAACUGCUCUAUUUGUUCUAUCUAAUCUGUUCUUUUCUAUUUAAGAAAAAUAUAAGCAUGCAUUUACCAGUAGGCGAGAUCAUCUAGCUACUUUGUAGUGUUAUUAUUGUCUAAAUAGGAACAUUUUACCUCAUUAAAAGUACAGCCAUCUCCAAAACUACAACACAUUUAGCUACUGAACAUUUACCUGGUGAGAUGUUUAGUCAUGCAUCCUAAUUCAGACGCUGUUGUGUGUUUAAGUAAUCUGUCAGAAGUGUUUAUUUCCACGCAUGCAUUAUCAAAUUGGCUGUGAGCCGUAAGGUGGAAUGCUUAGUAUUUUUGCUCAUACAGGAAACUUGCUCAGUUCGAUUAAUUCAGCUCCAAUGGCGGUAUCUGUAAGACAUGGAAGUGUGCAAUUUUUCUGUAUGUGCUCUCAUAUUUUUGCUCAUGCAUGCUUUUUUCAGUUAGUUUUUCCCACAUUUUGGAAAGAACCAUGCACAAAGGAAGCAAACACUUCAUCUGAUGGUGUACCUUCUUAAGCUAGCAGUACUCUGAUGGAGUACCUUCUUCAGAGGGCAAAUAGCACCAGCAGCAGCAGUCACGGCGGCAGUCAACAGCAACAACAGAGGAGCAGUAGCAUCAACACGAAUCAGCAACAGCAGCACAGGCAGAGGAGCAGUAGCAUCAACACGGGAAGAGGAGCAGGAGCAGCACGGGAGCUCCACCGGCGGCAGGGGAGAAACAGAGGAGAAACAAGAUGCAGCAGCACGGGCUAGCACCACAGGCGGGCAUGCAGGCAGAGAAGGAGCACCACGGCGGCGCGUGGGAGCUCGACGAGGACUCACGGGAGACCACGGAGGACGCGUGCGAGCUGCUGUCCACGACGGAUCGUGGAGGCCAGCUCCGACAAUGCCCGUAGUUGGAUCGCGGUGGCGCACGGGAGGCAGCUCAAGGUGGACUCGCGGGAGCACGAGGAGGACUUGCGGGAGCUCGAGUAUGAUGAGAGGGAGCUCCUGCUCCACCAGAUCGUGGUGGCAAAUUCCAGCGACACCCGCAGGUAAUCGCCGCCGGAGGGGAUCGCGGCGGCGCAGGUCUGGGCGGCGGCGGCGGAGCAAGUACUUGGCGACGGCGGCGGCGUUGAAGGUACGUGGUGACGGAGGCGGAACACUUCCUGGUGGGCGGCAAUCACGCAGCUUGGCGGCGCCGGCCCCUGGAGACGCACGGGCGACGGCGGAGGAAGACGACGGGGGUGGAGGGACUUGUUUGUGAUUGUUUUGAAACUACGAGGGCUUUUUUAUAAAAUUGGCAAUGAUCUACGCCUGCGACAUGUUUUUCGGGACGGAGGGAGUACAAUUUACAUUCUGUUAAAAUGUAAAGAAUUUAUUUCUUGGCAACUAAAUCAUCCCCUGUUUAGUUGCUUUUAUGCAGAGGCAUUACGGAUUUACAAUCAGUUGCCAAAGAAAGCAUUCACUUAUUAUGAUGCUGGUGCAAAACAUGAUUUAGCAGCUAUUUUUUACACUACACAUUUCGUGAUAUGUUACUUGUUCUGCUGUUGUUCCAUGUUCGUUAAUUGUGCAUCACAUGUUCACCAAAGUGGCUAGGCUAUUAGAUAGAUGGUUCAUUUUAUAGCCAGGAUGUUUUCCAUCGUGCUCACAAAUGUUGAUCAGUACAGUGGUUCGGAAGUUGCCCUCAACCUUUAACAAUUUUCUUAUAUCUGUUUUUUUUAUAUAUGCAGUAUGCUUGGUUUAUUUAUAGGAUGCGUUGUAAACUAGAUAUAUUUAGUGAAAGGUUCUGCAGUAAUUAAGAUAGAUACCAACACGGUUUCCUUUAUUCCGUUGCUACAUUCUAUUCUAUGAUGUGAAUUUGUUGGCCAAUCAUCUAAAAAAAGUAAUUGGCAAAUGCUUAUGCAUCAAAUACCUGGCAUUUUUUCAUGCUUGGGCCUUUUUAAUUAUGAAUACCUGGUUUAUUUAUAGGGAUUUUUUGGUAAAUUACAGAGUAACAUAAAUUUAGAAGUAGAUACCUAAAGGUAGAAAAUAAAAUCACAGCCUAUAGAAACACUAUUGUAUUUUUCUAUACAAAAUCCAUCUGGUGACAUUAUUCAGUAAAAUGUCAUGAGAAAUUUUAAAAGAUGAUUAAAAAGUGCACUUCAGAGGUACUCAUGUUGGUAUCUUUUGAUCUGGCCAUUGUAACUGUGUAAAGUACAGUAAUAUGUUGUAUCUCUGUAAAAGAUUGGUGUGCCUUUGUUGUUGAUAAGCAGGAGGAUAUAUGAAACUGAAAAGCAUGAAUCACUUAUCACUUAGUUUACAAACAUGUAUUUGGAAACAAUUUUAUUUCUAGGUAAAUACACAUUGUCUGAUACACAAGUCGUGUCAUUAUAUAAACCAAACCUCAAAGCUGAUCAUUUUUUUCCGAUGCUUCUACAUUGUAAGAAAAUUAUGAAUUGUACUUGGCAAUGUAGAUCAUCAAUGGCUUAUGACCACAAGUAGAGGCAGAUGCACAAUGUGAACAGAAACCAAACUUGGUUACGGAAAUUAUAUUAGGUUCGUUUUGCUUUGAACUUGAGAUCUAGCAAAUUGAAACAUUGGAAGUUGGUUCUGAAAAUGGCACUAGCUCUGCACUGAUUCGAGGUCAUGGUUACUAAACACAAGAGUUGACAUGUACAUAUAUUUUGUUGCAGUAUGUGCUAUUAAAGUUCAUGCUCUGUAUCAUGGUAUGUUCGCCUUUUGGUUUCAUUGGUCAUUAUGUGUUUCUAAAGAUCCUUUGAAGAUCAAUACCAAUCUUUGUUUAGUUACUACAAGAGCAUUCUGGCCAAAUAAAAGUUGACCAAGAGAUGAUAGCAAGGAGAUAGAAGUUGUCAAUUUUGAUAAUUGAGUCUUUUGAUGAUUUAUUCUUCCAUGUCCAGUAGCAAAACAUUUUCUGUUAGAUGCUGGGAUUUCAGACUUCUCAUGUGACUUGUGAACUGACCCUCUUCUGCUUGCAAUCUUCGAUAGUUUGGUGGUAAAUUAAAAGGUGGAUCGAGAAAGAUGUUGUGGCUGAAUCGUUGACAAAUAGGAGUUCAACCUGGCUGUGAAGGUUGCCACCCUGAUCUUUCUUUUUGCAGUAUUAACUCUGCAUCGAACAAAGCAAGUUUCUUGGCACUGUCGAGCUAUUAUUCAGACACAGUUUCAGUCUUUAUUCUGCAUCAUACAGAGCAAGUGUUAUGCAUGUUUCUUUCCUCCUAGAGAACUCAGUGCAUGCACACAUCCCAGUGAGGGCCUCAAUGAGGAACAGGCUAGGCUGGAGAUGUCGGUGAUGAGGUUAUCCGACAUUGGCUGCUUGCUUCUUGAAGCACACCGGUGUUCCCAAGCACUCAUCAAGUCUCUGAGAUUUUCUGUAUCCUCUAUGAAUGCUCCGCUUGUUUAGUUUGUGGACUAAAAUGCUUGAACGAUUGUUUUUGGUGAAACAACCAAUAGUUAUAAGGGAUAGAAAAUAGUCUGCUGCAACAACAAAUCAUUCACUUAUGCACCAGAAUACUGAUUUAGGUGACCAGCAGGCAAAUUAAGUAAGAUUUAUCAGUAGAACAGAAAAAUCGAUCAUAGUACUGCAUCCUUGCAAGUGAAAUGCCAGUGUUAGUUAUCUGAACACUCUGGAGAAUUGCUUGCAGAAGUAGUUUAGUGCUUAGUAAGUUGUUAAGAGUGCAAAUUUCUAGGCUUGGUUCAUCUCCUAAUAAGAUGCUCUUUUUGCUAUUUGUAGCUGAUCAAAAAGUAACAACUUACCAUAAAUGAUAGGAGUGCUGUUCAUAUGUCAGAGUCAGACCAGUGAUGAAAAAUAGUCAGAAUUCUCUGGCAACAUACAUGCACAACUUGACAAUGAAAGAUCACUUGUAUUGCUCGAAAAGUGAAGGUACGCUUUGAUGUUCUUGCGAGUUCCAUCCUCUUAUAGUUACAUAUAAAGUUUUGUUCACUCACAAGCAGCAGAAAAGCAUGAUUCAUGAAUCUUCCUAUAGGAUAAUAAGACUUGCUACUGAAGAAUGAUUUGACGGUAAGUAAGUGAAGACCAUAAACUCAAGUAAUUGAAACUGGAAACACCUUAUGGGCGCAAAUCCACGUUCAAAUUUAGGAGCUGAAAUGGCAUGUAUUGGUUUAGAUACCCCAAAAAAUGUAUUAAGAAACUCAGUGAAGAAAUAUAUUCUGCGGGGAAGAGAAAGCACAUUAUACUCACUGGCCAGUCUAGUGUGUGCAUACCUUGCUACAGACCACACUGGAUUCUACGAUUCUGGAUGAACUGCAACAGCAAAGUCAUAUGGGAAUUCAAACCCCGAUUGAAUACAAAGGAAAUUAUAAGAUGUGAUUACAGCAUGAUGCUUACAGUUACUCACUGAUAAGCAUAUCCUUUUGUGAGGGUAAAACCUACCACUAGGGGUUGUCAUGCUGAACAACAAAGACAAACUAUAACUUAAAAAAAAUCGAAGUUGCAAUGAAUUCAUUACUUUCAGAUCUGCGUAUUUCUUAAUUUAACAUUUCUUCAAAUAACUUGCUUCAUAUUUAAUAUUCAAUGAUCAUAUAGCUCUUUGUAAUUUGGUUAUCCGUCAGGCUGGGCAAAGAAUAUUUUCCUUGGGUACGCAGGCCGAAUUUACAUAGAAGCUUUAUGAAUCAGUGGCAGCUAGCCUUGAGGGCUAAAGCCUAAAGGCUAGGAUCCUUCACAGGAUAUUUUCUAUUGUUCAGGUUUUGCUGCAUGCCCUCCUCUCCAGAUCAUCGCGAGAUUCUUAACACACAUAUUUUAUGUAGCUUCCUGAUACACAUCAUUUGAGAAACUGAACCGUAAGAUCUUGCAUGCUUUUUAUAUGUGUUGGUUCAUGUUUUUUGUUUAUCCGGUAUUGAAAUCAAUAUCACCAGUAAUUCGUUGAUGAAGUAGUAAAUAUUUUUGAAAUGAGAUAUGUCGUUUGAUUUUCAUUCAUCCAAGUCUGAUGUUAUCAAGUGCUCAUGGCUAGCCAGUCUACUUUAGAAGUAUAGAAAGGCUGAUAGUUCCUAUGUUGGUUCAGCGCAAAAGAGAUGUUUAGGAGAUGUAAGUUUUACAUUGCUGCCUGCAUUUGAUUCUGCAAACAACACUUUGUGUUGGGGAAAGCCUACAUUUCCCCAUAGUUUUUUCUUUUAGUAUCUUGCAUGAUGUGAAGAUUCUUUCCACAUUGCUGUCUGCAUUUGAUUCAGCUUUUUUGUUUUCCCACAUAAUUUAUAUAGCUAAACAUGUCGUUUCCAAUAUUUCACGCUGCUGGGCGUGUGUUGAUGGACGAGUGCAGGAUGGCGGCGUUGUUUGGCGUCGUGGUGGCGUCGACGGCAGCUAGACCUGGCAAGGUUAAUGCGUCAGUAGCUCUGAAGAUGGAUUGGUGGCGGUUGGUGGCGGCGGCCUCUGAGUGUGCGCCGGACCGAUGGGUGCCCCAUACCCGGCAGGUGGCUUGGUUGGGGUCUCAGGUCUUAGAUGUUAGGUUUGGCUGCGAGGUUUGUUUGGUAUUAGGCCUAGAUCAGCAUCCCUUCAUCAACUGGAUAGGAGUAGCGACAGAUGUUGUCUAGACGGUGGUUUCAGUCUUACUGUUGUAUUACUUUGUAAGGUCUUUUGUGAAUAAUUAAUAAAAUGGCUGCAUGCAUUGCCCAGAUGCAGAGGCCGGGGGUCUUCCUCUUUUGAAGAAAACAUAACUAUCUUUGACCAAAACAAAUUGUAAGCUGUAAGGAUGUUUGUGGCAAGAUAUGCACACUUGUAGUGCUCGACGAACAGAAGACCAGGUUUUUUUUUCUUUCGCGCACA